ACGAGAGAGAGUCUAGGAGUCGGUGGCAGGCGUUGCGAACGCGGUUGCAGUGGAGGAGGAGGGUAGCGACACAGUGCGUUUCGCGCGUUGGUGCGGCCGUUUCGCGGGAAAGUCGAAGCAGGAAGGCAUCUCGCCACGUCACCCUGCGGUCGCACAGGCCCCAGAGAUCGAGGCUGCGCGCGGCGGCGGCGGAGGAGUGGAAAGUGCGUGAGUGACGUCACAGUGCGUGUUUGUGUGCGAGCCAAGAGUGGUGGGGGCGCGCGCAGCGGCGAGGCCGAGAAAUACUAUUACCUCUCCUCCUGCUACUACGCGUAGUACUACGGCCGCCGGGUGGCCUGUGACAGCGCGGCGCAGUGCCGACAAAACCACUCGGCUCCUUUGUUCUGUGUCGCCGCCGACGACGGGGAGACAGCGAGGAGCGGAUGUCCGUGUGUGUCGUGUGCUCAGUGUGUAAUAUUUCUGAAGUAGAAUAGAAGGCGUGAAGUGUGAACCGUCGUGAAAGUGAAAACACUGCGGCAGCAGCCGAACACAGGAUUGGACUGACGUCUCCGGUCCACGGCCCUACGAAACAGAAGGUCGCCUCAGCCGCCUCGGCCGUCCAUACCCGCAGGUGGCAGCCGUGACGAGCACCAGCUGGCGAUCUCCGGCGACGGCGGCCGUACCUUUGCCGUCGCGGUCUUCAUGACACUGCACUCAACAGGUCGCAGGACGCUGAACGAGGACUCUGUACCAGCACCCAGCGCCAGCCGCCGAGCAGCACAAACGCACAACAUCAAGUUGCAGAUCGUCGCGAGAAGCAGUUAUCAGUCGUAACGUAGAUCACACAGCUGACAUUGCCGUGCCACGUAAUGCGCCUUCAGCAAGAUAAGAAAUAAUACGGUAGCGCCCGAUGAUCUCGGCGAGCCACCUGGUGGUGGACGGCGGCGCGCACGGGCUGGGCGGCG